UGAGAAUUUCAACACAUAAUAGGUCCACGUGAUGCUGCACAAGGGUCGCCCAAAGAAAGGCAUGAGUUGUCAACACAUAAUAGGUCCACGUGGCAAGAUCUGAUGAGUGGGUAGCGCGGCCCCACUCUAGGAAAGGAAGGCCCGCACACCUCAACACCCUGCUUAUUAGCAUAACUGGCCCUCCCCUGGAUAAGAUGAGUCUCGGCACAAAGUUAUC
rnacentral:lncRNA from 1 species